AUUGAACGCUGGCGGCAUGCCUUACACAUGCAAGUCGAACGGUAACAGGUCUUCGGACGCUGACGAGUGGCGAACGGGUGAGUAAUACAUCGGAACGUGCCCGAUCGUGGGGGAUAACGGAGCGAAAGCUUUGCUAAUACCGCAUACGAUCUACGGAUGAAAGCAGGGGACCGCAAGGCCUUGCGCGGACGGAGCGGACGCAGGCAGAUUAGGUAGUUGGUGGGAUAAAAGCUUACCAAGCCGACGAUCUGUAGCUGGUCUGAGAGGACGACCAGCCACACUGGGACUGAGACACGGCCCAGACUCCUACGGGAGGCAGCAGUGGGGAAUUUUGGACAAUGGGCGCAAGCCUGAUCCAGCCAUGCCGCGUGCAGGAUGAAGGCCUUCGGGUUGUAAACUGCUUUUGUACGGAACGAAACGGCUCUUUCUAAUAAAGAGGGCUAAUGACGGUACCGUAAGAAUAAGCACCGGCUAACUACGUGCCAGCAGCCGCCGCAGUAA
rnacentral:rRNA from 1 species